rnacentral:rRNA from 1 species
AGAGGGGGCCAGCGUUAUUCGGAAUUAUUGGGCGUAAAGGGCGCGUAGGCAGCCAUGCGUGUCUUCCGUGAAAUCCCUCGGCUUAACCGAGGACGUGCGGAAGAAACUGCAAGGCUCGAGUCCGGAAGAGGGGGGCGGAAUUCCCAGUGUAGCGGUGAAAUGCGUAGAUAUUGGGAGGAACACCAGUGGCGAAGGCGGUCCCCUGGGCCGGAACUGACGCUGAGGCGCGAAAGCGUGGGUAGCAAACGGGAUUAGAUACCCCGGUAGUCCACGCCGUAAACGAUGGGCACUUGGUGUCGCGGGUAUCGACCCCUGCGGUGCCGAAGCUAACGCAUUAAGUGCCCCGCCUGGGGAGUACGGUCGCAAGGCUG